CCUACGGGUGGCAGCAGUGAGGAAUAUUGGUCAAUGGACGCAAGUCUGAACCAGCCAUGCCGCGUGCAGGAAGACGGCUCUAUGAGUUGUAAACUGCUUUUGUACGAGGGUAAACGCAGAUACGCGUAUCUGUCUGAAAGUAUCGUGCGAAUAAGGAUCGGCUAACUCCGUGCCAGCAGCCGCGGUAAUUCGGAGGAUUCAAGCGUUAUCCGGGUUUAUUUGGUUUAAAGGGUUGGUAGGCGGUAGGAUAAGUUAGAGGUGAAAGCCCGAGGCUUAACUUCGGAAUUGCCGCUGAUACUGUUCGGCUAGAGAGUAGGUGCGGUAGGCGGAAUGUAUGGUGUAGCGGUGAAAUGCUUAGAGAUCAUACAGAACACCGAUUGCGAAGGCAGCUUACCAAGCUACUUCUGACGUUGAGGCACGAAAGCGUGGGGAGCAAACAGGAUUAGAUACCCGAGUAGUC
rnacentral:rRNA from 1 species